rnacentral:rRNA from 1 species
AGUCGUACGAAAAAGCACAUUUUAGUGGCGAACGGGUGAGUAACGCGUGAGAAUUUGCCUUUAGGAAGAGGAUAACUAUUAGAAAUAGUAGCUAAAGCUCUAUAUGCCUUACGAGGUGAAAAAGGAAACUUGCCUAAAGAGAAGCUCGCGUCUGAUUAGCUAGUUGGUGGGGUAAAGGCCUACCAAGGCGACGAUCAGUAGCUGGUCUGAGAGGAUGAUCAGCCACACUGGAACUGAGACACGGUCCAGACUCCUACGGGAGGCAGCAGUGAGGAAUUUUCCGCAAUGGACGAAAGUCUGACGGAGCAACACCGCGUGAAGGAUGAAGGCCUAUGGGUUGUAAACUUCUUUUCUCAAGGAGGAAGAUCUGACGUUACUUGAGGAAUAAGCAUCGGCUAACCCUGUGCCAGCAGCCGCGGUAAUACAGGGGAUGCGAGUGUUAUCCGGAAUUAUUGGGCGUAAAGCGUCUGCAGGUUGGAAAGUAAGUCUUUUGUUAAAACUCCAGGCUUAACCUGGAAUCUGCAAAAGAAACUUCUUUUCUAGAGUAGGUUAGAGGUAAAGGGAAUUUCCAGUGGAGCGGUGAAAUGCGUAGAGAUUGGAAAGAACACCAAAAGCGAAAGCACUUUACUGGGGCCGUACUGACACUCAGAGACGAAAGCUAGGGGAGCAAACAGGAUUAGAUACCCUGGUAGUCCUAGCUGUAAACGAUGGAUACUAGAUGUUGCUGAUUUCGGUUAGCAGUGUCGUAGCUAACGCAUUAAGUAUCCCGCCUGGGAAGUAUGCUCGCAAGGGUGAAACUCAAAGGAAUUGACGGGGCCCGCACAAGCGGUGGAGUAUGUGGUUUAAUUCGAUGCACACGAAGAACCUUACCAGGA